rnacentral:lncRNA from 1 species
UGUGCCACAGAAUAAUGAUCUGAAGAAAGCUCACUUAUUUGCAAGGAAGAGUCUUCAUUUGGGAAAUAGUACUGGUGCAGCUAAGAUGUGCUUUGUCAGGUUCAGCUUGCAGUGGACUAACUUCCUACUGGACCAUUGAGUCUGGAGACAUCAGUUGUAUAUGUUCCCACCUUCCAGCCUUGCUUAUCUGACUGCCCUUCACACAACAAAGGGCCCUAAUUCUGCCACUGAAUUUGUUCAAAUGGACCUCGAUAGCCACGGGG